AUAUCAAUAAGCGGAGGAAAAGAAACUAACAAGGAUUCCCCUAGUAACGGCGAGUGAAACGGGAAUAGCCCAACUUGAAAAUCUCCCUUUGGAGAAUUGUAGUCUAAAGAAGCGCCCUCUGUGGCGGUCUGAGCCCAAGUCCACUGGAAAGUGGCGUCAGAGAGGGUGAGAACCCCGUCGGCUCUUGACUUAGCUGCUCCACGAGGUGCUUUCCACGAGUCGGGUUGUUUGGGAAUGCAGCCCAAAAUGGGAGGUAAAUCCCUUCUAAGGCUAAAUAUUGGCGAGAGACCGAUAGCGCACAAGUA
rnacentral:rRNA from 1 species